AAAGCGUCUGUGUCUUGGGUUUGGAAUAUUUUCUGAAAUCGUUUGGAGACUUUUGGAGACGUUCAGAGAUGGAGCUGUGGAGGGUGGGGCUGUGGAGGGUGGGGCUGCUGGUCUGGCUGUGGACCUCUGCAGGAGGACAGGAGCCAGAGCGGCGGUCAGUGUCCUGUGUCGUCAUGGAGACCUGUGUCCUUCCCUGCAGAUUGGACGGGGC